rnacentral:rRNA from 1 species
UACGAAGGGGGCUAGCGUUGCUCGGAAUUACUGGGCGUAAAGGGCGCGUAGGCGGACAGUUUAGUCAGAGGUGAAAGCCCAGGGCUCAACCUUGGAAUUGCCUUUGAUACUGGCUGUCUUGAGUUCGGGAGAGGUGAGUGGAAUUCCUAGUGUAGAGGUGAAAUUCGUAGAUAUUAGGAAGAACACCAGUGGCGAAGGCGGCUCACUGGCCCGGUACUGACGCUGAGGCGCGAAAGCGUGGGGAGCAAACAGGG